AGAUUGUUGCUCUCAAAUUAAUUUGGUUGUGCCACAAUCUGUCUGAUUUUGGUAGCAUUGUCAGAAUGGUUUAUAGUGUCCUGGCUAAUUUUUGAAGGCAUCAUUAUGUUUCCUCGGUCAAACACUUCAUCUGGAUAAAAGAAGCAGAGAACAUGUAACAGUUAUUUACCAGGUUUUAAACGCUUUAUCCAUUGAAUCACUAGGCCACGCCAAAACACUUAAUUGUUUGAUGUACCAAUUUAUUCUUCCUUUUUUUAUGUCUGGACCAAGAUAAAUCAUGUUUUCCCUGCUGUUUGCAAAAGUCACAGCAUGGUUACUACCCCAAUUGAUCUGACCUGUAUCUGUAUGUUUCUCUUGCAGGCGUGCAAGCAGCCGGCAUUCCGAUAAGAAUCAGUGGGGUUAACAAACAUGGUUGGAAGUACAUAAAGGCGUCGUUGGAAGAUAUCCCUGGAGCAGAGCCGCCAUCCGUCACCGCUGCUUAGUCAGUUACCCAGCUAGAUAUUUAGCAGGCUGCAAAACUGGUCCCUGCGGAAGCUUAGUGCUGAAACUAUUCAGAAGUGCGAACACGGAUCAGUUGCUGCUCUAAACCCAACAAUUCGGAGGAGGAAUGCACGAGAAGCGAGUCCCCCAGCGAUGCCAAGGCUCGGUGAGGGAUGCUCCACCAGCAUCCUGGUGCUUGGCGGUGGACGACAAGGACUUCCUCGCGCAUGAGGUGUCUUCUAAGAUCUACGGCGACAAGGUAAUCUCACUCUCUUCAACCCUGGUUGUUUUGUGUGUGCGGUUGCUGCAGAUGGUGGUCUGUGUGGAUCUUGUUAUAGUGAGAAUGUUAUGCUGGUGCUGGCUUGAAAGAAGGGCAGAAAUGCUCAACAAUCUAUUUCCUGCAGCAUUUAGCUAUUUACAUUAUGAAAUAUGUGGACAGUAGGUAUGUUUCCCAUGUUAUAUGGUAAUAACUAUACAUGUUAUUGUUGAGUUUGCUGUGUGUUUAUAGAAUGACAUGGUUGGCUAAUUAAGCCCUGUCCGUGUAUCUUUUAGAAUUUGCUUCAUUGGUAGCACAUUCAGAUAUAUUAAUUAAUUUUGUGCAUGUUGGAGAAUUUAGACGAUGAUAACAAACUGUAAUCACGAAUACUUGUAUAGAAACUUGCACGACCAUCUUGUUUAAUUUUGUGAUAUUCCUCCAUACUAGGAGCUAAUCAGCUGCACUAUUAUUCAGCUUUCAUUGGCAGAUUUAAUUUCACUGAAAUCAUGUUUUCUUUUCUAUGCCCAUGUUCAAGCCUGGUAGUAUAUUUUUUUCCAAAUGGUCUGUUUACUUGAUUUAUCUGUUGUUUGAUUUUGCUCCAUCAGCUUUCCUGAUGUCCUUCUACAUAUGUAUGUUGGUUGUAAUCUUCUUGAAGAA